rnacentral:rRNA from 1 species
AUGAAGGAGCUGAAAGCAACCAAGAUCAUACAAUGCGACGCAACAUACGUCAACCUGGGCGAUCUUGCUGAGUCCAUGAGGCCUACUGGUAAAAUGUCAAAGAAUGUAGUUGCCUGUGGGAUUGACUUCAUCAACAGCCAUGUGGACAUUUCUCCCGACAAGACGAUCAUGCAGUACAACGUGGCCUGCAAAAUCUGGGAUGGUGACUUCCACCAUAAAAUCCCGAGGAAGCAUUUUGCCGCGCAUGGUGAUUUUAAGCUCACAAUGAAGAAAUACGUCAUGUUCCUCAUGUUCCAGGAGCUUGCACCAGAAGACCCAGAUGACAAGUGUGGUCACCACUACGCCAUUUUCCUUGACCUGAAGAACCAACGUUUCGAGGUGCUUGAUUCAAUCCGUUCAGGAGCUGAUGAAGACCUUACUACUCAUGUUGAAUUCUUUAUCAACAACCUAAAGGAGACCUGGAACCGUCAUUAUGAAAACUCAAAGGUCUAG